GAUGAACGCUGGCGGCGUGCUUAACACAUGCAAGUCGAACGGAAAGGCUCCUGCUUGCAGGGGUACUCGAGUGGCGAACGGGUGAGUAACACGUGGGUGAUCUGCCCUGCACUUCGGGAUAAGCCUGGGAAACUGGGUCUAAUACCGGAUAGGACGAUGGUUUGGAUGCCAUUGUGGAAAGUUUUUUCGGUGUGGGAUGAGCCCGCGGCCUAUCAGCUUGUUGGUGGGGUAAUGGCCUACCAAGGCGUCGACGGGUAGCCGGCCUGAGAGGGUGUACGGCCACAUUGGGACUGAGAUACGGCCCAGACUCCUACGGGAGGCAGCAGUGGGGAAUAUUGCACAAUGGGCGCAAGCCUGAUGCAGCGACGCCGCGUGGGGGAUGACGGCCUUCGGGUUGUAAACUCCUUUCGCUAGGGACGAAGCGCAAGUGACGGUACCUGGAGAAGAAGCACCGGCUAACUACGUG
rnacentral:rRNA from 1 species